UGUAUAUCUGUGCAUGUGGAUAUGCAUAUAAUGUAUGUGUAUGGGUGUAUAUACAUAAAUAUAUGUCUGUGUUUAUGUGUGUGGAUAAAUGGAAUUUAUUGGAAUUUCUUAUAAACUGUUACUAAUUCCUAUUAAUCCAAAGUAGGCUGACUGUGAAUGGAAAGUUCAGUUAUCUAUUGGUUGUUCAGUUCCAUAAGUCUGUGUGUGUCAACUGUUCUUCUGUAUAUGAUAUAUUUCCAAAGAAGUUCUAAUGAGAGUGAAGAAAUGGAUGUCCUAGUAAGCUGUCUUAGUUAGUGUUUUACUGCUGCGAACAGAUGCCAUGGCCAAGGGAAUUCUUGAAAGGAAAACAUUUAAUUGUGGCUACCUUACAAGUUCAGAGGUUCAGUCCAUUUUCUUCACGGUGGGAGAUUGGCAGUGUCCAGGCACUCAUGGUGAAAGAGGAUCUGAGAGUUCUACAUGGUCAUAUGAAUACUGCUAGCAGAAUCUGACUUCCAGGGAGCUAGGAUCAGGUCUUAAAGCCUGUGCUCACAGUGUCACACUUAUCCCAACAAGGCCACAGCUCUAAAUUGUACCACUCCCUGAGUAAAGCAUAUUCAAGCCAUGACACAAGUGAUUCCAAGUAGGCAAAGUGCUUCCUUCUUCUGUGUUACCACAUAAGCUUCCAGCAGAAUGCAUGAUUUAGAUUAAGGGCAUCUCUUCUCAACUCUAGAUCCAGAAUAAUGGUUUGUAACUUCCUACUUUCAUAUCUGAAUUAAAGACAUAUAUCUUCCUUCCUCAAGAUCCAGAUCAAAUGUAUGCAUCCAUACCUCAAUAGUUCAGAUUAGAAGUGGGUUCACACAUUUCAAACAAAGUAGAAAGGUAUUCACACGUAUGCCCACCAUCUCUACAUUGUAGCUUUUCAAUAUAUAUGAUACAAUUAAUUGAAAAGUAAAUUGACACUAUGUAUAAAAUAAAAAGAUAAAAAUUCCACUUAUUCACUUUCCUUAAUGAAUGCCCAGAGAAUGCCUUCUAUGACAAUGUACAAAGAAAAGAAAAACAAACAAACAGUCAAAUCAAAAAAUAAACAAUAAAACCAACAACUGAUACCCUUUAAUUUUUUUAUUACAGGCAUAGUGAAUCAUUUAAAAACUAUAUAUGCAGUAUUUCCACUUAACAUUAUAGGAAUUCAUUUUUCUAAGAAAUACUUGAAUAAUUUUCCUCAAAACAAAAGUGGUUAAAAAUUCUUAGAUAUUUUUCCUUUGUACUUUGAGAUGAUCAUGUAUCCUGUUGGUCUUUGGUCUUUGGUUGCCUGCCCCUUUCUGAACAGGAAAUUGACGGGUAGUGAAACUGGAGGAGAAGGGAAUUGGCAGAUGGAGCUAACAGGAGUUGAGGGAGGAGAACAUGGUUUAGAUGAAUUGUAUGCUAGAAGGACCUAUUUUCACUAAAAACGAGACGAUGUGGUAGAUUUGUCACUCCGUGUAUUCAUGUAGUUCACUACAUGGACUCUUUAUAUAUGUUAAAAUUAAACUAAUCCUACAUAUAAAGGUCAUAUUUGCUUUAUCAUAAUAUAAAAGCAUUGUAUGUAAAUAGUGUUUUUAUCUCACACAUAUAUAUGUCACAGAUAUAUAUGUCACAUAUAUAUAUAUAUAUAUAUAUCUUCACAUGUGAAUGUAUUGCACCAUUUUCAAAUAAAUAUUUUCAUCAGAUUUUUUUCCUUUUUCAGCCUAGCUAACUCCCUGAUAAUACUUCCACUUUUCUGCAAAGUCCCUUUCUCCCACUCUGUCCGUGUACUCUCCCAGAACAAUAAAAAAAGUAAAAAGAAAGAAGAAAAGAGAUAA
ensembl:lncRNA